UACGAAGGGGGGCUAGCGUUGCUCGGAAUGACUGGGCGUAAAGGGCGCGUAGGCGGCUUGCACCGUCAGAUGUGAAAUUCCUGGGCUUAAACUGGGGGCUGCAUUUGAUACGUGUGGGCUUGAGUGCGGAAGAGGGUCGUGGAAUUCCCAGUGUAGAGGUGAAAUUCGUAGAUAUUGGGAAGAACACCGGUGGCGAAGGCGGCGACCUGGUCCGUGACUGACGCUGAGGCGCGAAAGCGUGGGGAGCAAACAGG
rnacentral:rRNA from 1 species